AUUGCACAAUGGGCGAAAGCCUGAUGCAGCAACGCCGCGUGAGUGAUGAAGGCCUUCGGGUCGUAAAACUCUGUCCUCAAGGAAGAUAAUGACGGUACUUGAGGAGGAAGCCCCGGCUAACUACGUGCCAGCAGGCCGCGGUAAUACGUAGGGGGCUAGCGUUAUCCGGAUUUACUGGGCGUAAAGGUGCGUAGGCGGUCUUUCAAGUCAGGAGUGAAAGGCUACGGCUCAACCGUAGUAAGCUCUUGAAACUGGGAGACUUGAGUGCAGGAGAGGAGAGUGGAAUUCCUAGUGUAGCGGUGAAAUGCGUAGAUAUUAGGAGGAACACCAGUUGCGAAGGCGGCUCUCUGGACUGUAACUGACGCUGAGGCACGAAAGCGUGGGG
rnacentral:rRNA from 1 species